ACAGAUAUAUAUACAUAUAUAACCUUACACAGCUUGUGAUAAAUAUGGAACAAAUAUAGGCCCUAUUUUAAUAAGGUGUUAUUCAGAGGUGUUAUUCAAAUUAUUUAACAAUAAGAGUGAGGCAGAGGGAGAGAGUUUGCCUGACCAAUGAGAAUAAAUAUUGGUCAGUGUAAGAAUGAGUUAGCAUGAGAAUGGCCAUCUUAAGGGCCAAAAAGCCAUUUUCUGAGUGCAUGACUCAGGAAAGGAGGAACUGGGAAAGGCUUAAUAAACAGGUUUUGAAGAACAAGUUAAUCAUGGACACGGGGUUGUGGGCGGCUGCGACCCUUGGUCAGCUAAUCAUGGACACCAGGUUGUGGGCGGUUGUGACUCUGGUCAGCUUAUCUUGCUGAACCACCCUAACAUUUGAGGAGUGGUCUUAUCUUGCUUUUGCUUAACCCCCAGGAUGUUGCACAAGCCAAAAAUUAUGGAAAAUUGCUGUGAGUAAGUGCUUUUUGAAAAUGCCAUAUAAACCUCUGGCUUUGAGUGCUCUGGGUCCUUGUUGAAACUCGCUGCAUCGGCAGACACUUGGACCCCAGCUAGCUGGAAAUAAACCUCGCUGUGUGACUUGCAUUAUUGUGAGUGUCUUCUGUCUAUUUGAGAGGUAGUCGACUCCAGACCCUAACAUUUUGGGGGCUUGUCCGGGAUCGCUAGAAUCCUCCUCAGGGAGACAGAUGACCCCUGAUACCAAGGUUUGCUCAGAAGCUGCGGAAGGAGGUUUGGCCACCUCCAAGAGGGGAGGGCAUCCUCGACUGGAGAGACUGAAACUGAUCUCUGCCUGAUCCUAAAAGGGGAGGACUGAAACAGGUCCUUGACUGGAGAGACUGAAACAGGUCUCCGCCUGGUCUCAAUUGAAAAUUCUCAUGGAAAGGAAGGAAUGGGUUAUGACCCUGGAAGUCUCCAUUACUGAAAGUCACGGGAGACGUCCCCGAUGAGGCGGUGCCCGAACGACGUCUGCAGUGGACGCCGUUUGGACAGCUAGUUAAGGAUCCUGAGCAUUGUGUGAUUGAGAUGGCACCUGUGGAUGUGGUGUGGCUGACCGGCCGGUGGGUGUUUGAAAACUCAGUUCGAAUUUGUAUGUUUGCUUGCUUUGUGUCCCUUGUCUUUUCCUGGCUUCUUUUGUAAUAAUAAUGGGACAGGCUCAAGUAACACCUUCUAACUUCAUCAAUCUCAUGGAACCUGAUGCUCACCGCUGCAAGGCAAUCUCUUCUUCUCAUGUUACUCCCACACAUGGGAUCAUCAAAUGCCACUGAGCCAGAAGACCCUAGUGAGUCUCUGUGGUUUGGACCUGCCUCCUGGCUGCAGCGGCCGUGUGAUGAUUGUUUGAACUCCCUACCUAUUCAGCUUCUAACUGCCUGUGGAAUGGGGGAAUUUAAAUCAUGUGUUUAAUGCCUUUACAAUCAGCCUCAUUAUAUCUGGCAAUAGGAAAAGAAGACACAGCAGUAUGUUGAAAUGCUUUGGAAGAGGAAGAUGCACCAGGGAUGUGUGUACGCAGAAGAAAGGCCAUGAGAGGACACAGUGAGAAGGAGACUAUCAGCGAGCCAAGGAGACAGGCCUCAGGAGCAACCAAGCUGCCAGCCCCUUCACCUUAGACUUCAAGCCUUCCGUCUUGUGAGAAAAUAAGUGUUUGUUGCUUAAGCCACCCAGUUCGUGGCAUUUUGUUGUGGUGGCCCUAGCACACAAAUAUACCACCUAAAGGCCAUUUAUAAAAAUAAAAGCAAAAAGACCUUACUAAGUAAUAUCAUUUGGGUUUUAAUGUUUUCCAACUUUAAAAUUGCAUUCUGUGUAUGAAGAAAUGGGCUGUACAUUGUCCUGGUCACAGUCUCUAUUCUCACAUCUCAUUACUCAAAUAAUGAAAUAUGUUUGUGGAUGAUUCAAGACAUGAGUAGGAUUUCUUGCUGUAGAGCUCAGUGAAUAUUAUUUCAGUACUGCAGCUUUAGUUCUUCUUUUCUUGUCUUUUCCUGUGUCUCCUUUUGCUCCAUCUCUGGAGGCUUUCCCAGUCUUCUGCAGUAUUAAAUGGACACCUAAAUUCAUGUGGCUUAAGGUUAUUCAUAAUGUUAUGGAGUCCCUGCUGCUCUGAGAUGAAGAUGACCCGAGAUGGGACAGAUAGAAAAACAUCCUUUUAACAAGUCAGUUUGGAAGACCCAGUCCAAAGCAGUCACUGAGGGCAAAUCCUUCGGUCUGUGCUUCUCAAAAUUUAAUGUACUUAAGACAACCAGGGGAUCUCAGUUAAAAUGCCCUCAACUUUAGUAGGUUUGGGAUGGGUCUGAGAUUCUGCACUUCUAACAAGUUUCCUGAUUAUGUCAGUGCUGCUAGUUCGUAAACCACACUUUGAGAAGUAAGAGGAUAGGCAUUCCUGGAGCCACAGCCUCUCCUUCACAUCUGUGAGCUCCAGUGAGUAAACUGCUAAGGCCUAAGGGUGGCCUGAUGACUUGGCAGAAUUAGUGCAGCCUUUCUAAGUGAACAGGUUGCAGGUAGAAUGCAACAGAUCCUUGACAGGAUGUGGUGCCACCAUCUUUCCCAUCUGACAAAAACUGAGAUUAGUCAGUUGGGACUAUAAGAGAAUUCUCUCUCUACUUCCCAACUGCAAAUUAAAAUUAGAGUUUGGGAUGAUGUGGUUGUCCACAGGCUUUCAAUUUAUGUAACUAUUAACAAAACUUACAGUGAAGAAAGAUUUCUUAUUUUUUCAUAAAGUUCUAAACUUCAAAGGCAGCACAUAAGCCUAGAAUAGAAAUUAUGGGAAUUGGUGACACAGGAGAAAAAGAUCAGGCGAAGGGUGGAGAUUUGAACUUAAGUCAGGCUAGAAAGAGAGAUGAACCUGGCUUCCCAAAAGAGGAAAUCACAUUUAUCACAACUGAAAAUAAAGGCUAAUGGCUCAGAAGGCAUGAGAGAGCAAUAGGAGUAACUCAGGGCAGCAAAGGGCUGUGAUGACUUUGUCAAAGUUUUAUAUAUUUGAGAGAUGAAAUAAUUUUGAAAACUGCUGGGCCUGGUAUUUCUUUACCUAAAAAUCUUUCUCAAACUCCACCCCCUGCCACCAAAUCAUGAUAUGCUGGGAAAACCUGUCUUUACCGAGACAAGAGACAUAAGGAAUAAUUUUGGGGUUGUAUCUGUGUGUAUAAGAUGACUACUGUGCCCAAAACCACUAGUUGAAGGUGAUUAACAGUCAGUUGUUUCAAGACUGGAUACACCUAUAUUUUGGGGCCAUUAUAUAAGUCACUAGGGUAGGUGCUGGGGAUAAGCUUUUAUGAAUCAGAUAUAGUCCUAGUCCCCCAAAAUUCACAGUGCAGUGGGAGCAGGAUAUCCAGGGAGCUAAGUGCUAUAGGUCGCUGUAGAACUGACUAUACUGGGGAUUCAAUUUACUCAUUAUGGUGAAUAGGGAAGGUUUCUUUGAGCAUUUAACUAUGAAACUGCUUCCUAAAGGAUAAGUAGGAGUUAAACAAGGAAAGACCUGGGAAGAAUAUUACAGGUUGAGAGGUCAGGGUAUGGUGGUGGAAGCAUGGGGAACUCUAGGCUUUGUAAACACAGAGUAAGUGGGAAUGGCUACAGGAAGCUGUAGCAGAUGAUUCUGGAGAGAAAAGCUGAACAUGGACAGUGAAGGGUGAUGUAUUCCAUGAUGAGUUUAGACUAUAUGCUAGUGGUAUUUGGCAGGCAUCAGUUGGAAGUAACAGAAUGAUGUAACUAGACUUUUAAGUGAAAGAUUUACUUUGAUGACAGUAUGGGAAAUGGAUUGAAAAGACAAGACUGGAGAGGAGAAACCACUUAGAACACUGCUAGAGUCAACAGGUGAUAAAGGUAGGUGAUCUAGUUAAUAAGCAAAUAGAAGUGGAGGUGGACAGAGUGGAUGGACACUGGGAAGAUAGGAAUUUCAAAACAGUGUGGGAAGUUGUGGCUCAGUGGAAGAGGGAGGGUGAUACGGAAGAACAUGUGGACACAUACAGAUUCCUGGCUUGAGAAGCAAUAUCUGUGUAAACAGUUUUCUUUUCAAACCUUAGUUUGAAAUAUAUUAAACCAGAUAAUGGAAAACUCAUGAUUUUGAGCCAUUCAGCUAAGAAAUAGUAAAUAACCUGUGAUAUAAUGAGUUAUAAGAAAUAUGUAUAAAUACAUAUUUCCCAGGUGUAUUUGGUCUUCAUUCACAGUUUCUGAAAACACUGCAGAGUUUUAAAGGUGAAACAGUGUAUGGUCAUGUUAAUGAGAAACUUUUGUAUCCCCACCCAAGGGCAGAGGCUGUGGUCUGAAACAGCCAAUGGCCAAUAAUUUAGUCAAUCAUGGCUAUGCAAUGAAGCCCUCACAAAAGCCCUUGAGAAGAGCUUUUUGCUCCCUCUCUGCUCCACCUGCUCUGCUCAGCUGAAUCCUACUUUGUGUUCAGAGAGUUUCUAUGCUUGGGGAGCCAGAAUGCUUCCAUGUGCCACCGAGCCAGGCCCCAAGCCCCAUGAGGAUAGAAGCUCCUUUAAUCAGAAUCUUGCCCUGUGUCUCUCUUCAUCUGGCUGUUAACUUGUAUCCUUUAGGAUAUCCUUUUUUAAAUUGGUCGAAGUAAGUGUUUUCCUCAGUUCUGUGAGCUGCUCUAACAAAUUAGUUGAACCUAAGGGGGAGGUCAUGGGAACCUCCAAUCUGUGUAGCCAGCUAGUAAGUCAGAAGCACAGGUAACUGCCUGGGGCUCGUGACCAGCGUCUGGAGUGGGAGAUGGAGGGCUGUCUUGUAGGAUGGAGCCCUUUACUUGGGAUCAGGUGCUGUCUCUGGGAAGAUAGCAUCAGAAUUGAGUUGCAUUCUCCAACACCCUGGUGUUUGAGAAUUGCUUGAUGUAAGUAUGUGUGGGAAGACCCCCUCCCACAUAUUUAUACACAUUGGAAUUGGGUCUGGGUACCCGAAUGAAGUUAUACUAUUAUUACUGUUGUGUAUAAUAUUGUUACUGUUAUACAUUUAUGUAGGGAAAAAUACACCAUUGCUUUUGGUGUUGGAUGAAAAUAAAUCACAUAGCCCAACAGUGUAAGAUAAAAGCAUUGCCAAAUUAGUACAGUCCAUAAAUAUGUUUGUGAAGCUAGCAUUUACAUAAAUUUCAUCUUAGUGGGGUGGCUUUUAUUCAUUUUUCUAAGUCAUUUCAGCUCUGGUUGGAAGGAUAGGAAAAUGUUAACAGCCCCAGGACAAUUUCAUUUGAAAGAAAUAAUUGAGAUAUAGUUAUCUGCAAUAAUCAAGAAUUAUGGAAGGAAACAUCAGCUAAAAUAAAAAAUAACUAAACUGCAUCUGCUUCAGGAGAUCAAAGUGUGAUGUUAGCUCUCAUUUCUUAAAUUUAGGUUCUCAGUUUGGGUAAUCAGGCAAUAGAUACCACUGAUUCUUUGGUUAAAUAUUCUGAAUGAUAUUACAUAGUAUUUUCCUGAAAUUUAGAUGACAACAUUUUUUCUAUCAUGAAUUUCACACUUAAUCAGCAAAGCACCUUUGUACCAUCGUUGAUUAUCUACUUCAGCUCAUUUCCUCACUCCUCACCAUAUACUUCAGUGUAGUGCUUCUUGCUGUUUCUGAAAAAUGCCAGCAAAUUACACAUUUUCACAACCCUGGGCCUUUGCUGCUAAGUUUCUCUUUCUCCAGAAUUGCUUUCUAUUGCUUUGCCUUCCACCUUACCACCAUCAGGUCUCCUUUUAAAUGUUCUCAGUCCUUCCUCUUAGACCACACAGGUGAGCACUGAGCGCAUCCUCACCAGGCUCCCACAACAAAGUGAAUGUGACUAUUUUACAGGCUUCAUAUCAUUGUUUUACAUUUGUUUAUAGAUCUGUCUCUCAUUCUUGACUUAAGAUGCAUGAGAACAGGAACUACAGCUAAUUCCCUGAGGUAUCUUCAGCCCUAGCAACUGGGCUUUGGUUCUGACAUAAAACUUAUGUUUAUCAAAUGUUUAUAAAAUGAAUUGGUAUGAGAUUGUUGCCUAGGACUCUUAUGAAGACCAACACUACAAUGUAUAAUCUCUGAAUUUUAUUCUCUGGACAAUUUAAAAUUAACAGAAGAAAUGCGUAAUGGUGUAUGGGGCAGUUGGGGUUCCUAUGGCCAGGAUCCUCACUGAACUUAAACCACCUGAUGAUGUAACUGGCCUGUUGCUAGGCUACCACUUCCACACCUGUAGGCAAUAAGCUAUUAUUACGCUAUAUA